UGUCCUAUUAACGCAAAGCAUUGCGAUAGCCCUCGCGGGUAUUAACGCAAUGUGAUUUCUGUGCUCUGUGGCGCCAGUGCUCUGAAUGUCAAUGUUAAGAAAUUCAAGCAAGCGCGGGUAAACGGCGGAAGUAACUGACAUUUUAGGCGAGUCAGUGGGGU
rnacentral:ncRNA from 1 species